rnacentral:rRNA from 1 species
UACGGGGGGGGCAAGCGUUGUUCGGAAUUACUGGGCGUAAAGGGCUCGUAGGCGGCCAACUAAGUCAGACGUGAAAUCCCUCGGCUUAACCGGGGAACUGCGUCUGAUACUGGAUGGCUUGAGUUUGGGAGAGGGAUGCGGAAUUCCUGGUGUAGCGGUGAAAUGCGCAGAUAUCAGGAGGAACACCGGUGGCGAAGGCGGGUCUCUGGGCCGAUACUGACGCUGAGGAGCGAAAGCGUGGGGAGCAAACAGG